rnacentral:rRNA from 1 species
UACGGGGGGAGCAAGCGUUGUUCGGAUUUAUUGGGCGUAAAGAGCUCGUAGGCGGUUUGUCGCGUCGGCCGUGAAAUCUCCACGCUUAACGUGGAGCGUGCGGUCGAUACGGGCAGACUUGAGUUCGGUAGGGGAGACUGGAAUUCCUGGUGUAGCGGUGAAAUGCGCAGAUAUCAGGAGGAACACCGGUGGCGAAGGCGGGUCUCUGGGCCGAUACUGACACUAAGGCGCGAAAGCGUGGGGAGCGAACAGG